rnacentral:rRNA from 1 species
UUCGGGGUACACGAGCGGCGAACGGGUGAGUAACACGUGGGUGAUCUGCCUCGCACUCUGGGAUAAGCCUGGGAAACUGGGUCUAAUACCGGAUAUGACCUUACAUCGCAUGGUGUUUGGUGGAAAGAUUUAUCGGUGCGAGAUGGGCCCGCGGCCUAUCAGCUUGUUGGUGGGGUAAUGGCCUACCAAGGCGACGACGGGUAGCCGGCCUGAGAGGGCGACCGGCCACACUGGGACUGAGACACGGCCCAGACUCCUACGGGAGGCAGCAGUGGGGAAUAUUGCACAAUGGGCGAAAGCCUGAUGCAGCGACGCCGCGUGAGGGAUGACGGCCUUCGGGUUGUAAACCUCUUUCGACAGGGACGAAGCGCAAGUGACGGUACCUGUAGAAGAAGCACCGGCCAACUACGUGCCAGCAGCCGCGGUAAUACGUAGGGUGCGAGCGUUGUCCGGAAUUACUGGGCGUAAAGAGCUUGUAGGCGGCUUGUCGCGUCGAUCGUGAAAACUUGGGGCUCAACCCCAAGCUUGCGGUCGAUACGGGCAGGCUUGAGUACUUCAGGGGAGACUGGAAUUCCUGGUGUAGCGGUGAAAUGCGCAGAUAUCAGGAGGAACACCGGUGGCGAAGGCGGGUCUCUGGGAAGUAACUGACGCUGAGAAGCGAAAGCGUGGGUAGCGAACAGGAUUAGAUACCCUGGUAGUCCACGCCGUAAACGGUGGGUACUAGGUGUGGGUUUCCUUCCACGGGAUCCGUGCCGUAGCUAACGCAUUAAGUACCCCGCCUGGGGAGUACGGCCGCAAGGCUAAAACUCAAAGGAAUUGACGGGGGCCCGCACAAGCGGCGGAGCAUGUGGAUUAAUUCGAUGCAACGCGAAGAACCUUACCUGGGUUUGACAUACACCGGAAACCUGCAGAGAUGUAGGCCCCCUUGUGGUCGGUGUACAGGUGGUGCAUGGCUGUCGUCAGCUCGUGUCGUGAGAUGUUGGGUUAAGUCCCGCAACGAGCGCAACCCUUAUCUUAUGUUGCCAGCGCGUAAUGGCGGGGACUCGUGAGAGACUGCCGGGGUCAACUCGGAGGAAGGUGGGGACGACGUCAAGUCAUCAUGCCCCUUAUGUCCAGGGCUUCACACAUGCUACAAUGGCCGGUACAGAGGGCUGCGAUACCGUGAGGUGGAGCGAAUCCCUUAAAGCCGGUCUCAGUUCGGAUCGGGGUCUGCAACUCGACCCCGUGAAGUUGGAGUCGCUAGUAAUCGCAGAUCAGCAACGCUGCGGUGAAUACGUUCCCGGGCCUUGUACACACCGCCCGUCACGUCAUGAAAGUCGGUAACACCCGAAGCCGGUGGC